rnacentral:rRNA from 1 species
AUUGAACGCUGGCGGCAGGCCUAACACAUGCAAGUCGAACGGUAACAGGAAACAGCUUGCUGUUUCGCUGACGAGUGGCGGACGGGUGAGUAAUGUCUGGGAAACUGCCUGAUGGAGGGGGAUAACUACUGGAAACGGUAGCUAAUACCGCAUAACGUCGCAAGACCAAAGAGGGGGACCCUCGGGCCUCUUGCCAUCGGAUGUGCCCAGAUGGGAUUAGCUUGUUGGUGGGGUAACGGCUCACCAAGGCGACGAUCCCUAGCUGGUCUGAGAGGAUGACCACCCACAUUGAAAUGGAGACACGCCCCAGACCCCUACGGGGGGCAGAGGGGGGAAAUAUGGCACAAGGGGCGAAGGCCUGAUGCAGCCAUGCCGGGUGUAAGAAGAAGGCUUUGGGUUUGUAAAGUCCUUCCAGGGGGGAGGAAGGGAGAAAAUUUAAUCCUUUUGCUCAUGGACUUACCCCGAAGAAGAACCCCCGCCUACCCCCGCC